GGGGUUGUGGCUCAGUGGUAGAGCGCUUGCUUGGCAAGUGUGAGACACUAAGUUAGAUCUUCAGUACCA
rnacentral:tRNA from 1 species